rfam:Schistosoma mansoni strain Puerto Rico chromosome W, complete genome
AUCCAGCUGACGAGUCCCGAAUAGGAUGAAACGCGCGUCUAGACUGGAU